rnacentral:rRNA from 1 species
GGUGAACGCUGGCGGCGUGCCUAAUACAUGCAAGUCGAGCGAACAGACGAGGAGCUUGCUCCUCUGACGUUAGCGGCGGACGGGUGAGUAACACGUGGAUAACCUACCUAUAAGACUGGGAUAACUUCGGGAAACCGGAGCUAAUACCGGAUAAUAUAUUGAACCGCAUGGUUCAAUAGUGAAAGACGGUUUUGCUGUCACUUAUAGAUGGAUCCGCGCCGCAUUAGCUAGUUGGUAAGGUAACGGCUUACCAAGGCAACGAUGCGUAGCCGACCGGAGAGGGUGAUCGGCCACACUGGAACUGAGACACGGUCCAGACUCCUACGGGAGGCAGCAGUAGGGAAUCUUCCGCAAUGGGCGAAAGCCUGACGGAGCAACGCCGCGUGAGUGAUGAAGGUCUUCGGAUCGUAAAACUCUGUUAUUAGGGAAGAACAAAUGUGUAAGUAACUAUGCACGUCUUGACGGUACCUAAUCAGAAAGCCACGGCUAACUACGUG